CCUACGGGGGGCAGCAGUGGGGAAUAUUGGACAAUGGUCGAAAGCCUGAUCCAGCCAUGCCGCGUGUGUGAAGAAGGCCUUCGGGUUGUAAAGCACUUUCAGUGGGGAAGAAAGCCUUGGGGCUAAUACCCUCGAGGAAGGACAUCACCCACAGAAGAAGCACCGGCUAACUCCGUGCCAGCAGCCGCGGUAAUACGGAGGGUGCGAGCGUUAAUCGGAAUUACUGGGCGUAAAGCGCGCGUAGGCGGUCUGAUAAGCCGGUUGUGAAAGCCCCGGGCUCAACCUGGGAACGGCAUCCGGAACUGUCAGGCUAGAGUGCAGGAGAGGAAGGUAGAAUUCCCGGUGUAGCGGUGAAAUGCGUAGAGAUCGGGAGGAAUACCAGUGGCGAAGGCGGCCUUCUGGACUGACACUGACGCUGAGGUGCGAAAGCGUGGGUAGCAAACAGGAUUAGAUACCCCAGUAGUC
rnacentral:rRNA from 1 species